CCUACGGGUGGCAGCAGUGGGGAAUAUUGCACAAUGGGGGAAACCCUGAUGCAGCAACGCCGCGUGGGUGAAGGAGCGUUUCUGCGCGUAAAGCCCUGUCAGCGGGGAAGAAGAAAGACGUUACCCGACCAAGAAGCCCCGGCUAACUACGUGCCAGCAGCCGCGGUAAUACGUAGGGGGCGAGCGUUAUCCGGAAUUACUGGGUGUAAAGGGAGCGUAGACGGGGAGGUAAGCCUGAAGUGGAAGCCCGCGGCCCAACCGCGGAACUGCUUUGGGAACUGUUUUGCUAGAGUGUGGGUGGGGUAGGCGGAAUGCAUGGUGUAGCGGUGAAAUGCGUAGAUAUCAGACAGAACACCGAUGGCGAAGGCGGCUUACUGAACCAUAACUGACGUUGAGGCUCGAAAGCGUGGGGAGCGAACAGGAUUAGAUACCCUUGUAGUC
rnacentral:rRNA from 1 species